CAGUAGCCACGGUAAUACGUAGGUCCCGAGCGUUGUCCGGAUUUAUUGGGCGUAAAGCGAGCGCAGGCGGUUAGAUAAGUCUGAAGUUAAAGGCUGUGGCUUAACCAUAGUACGCUUUGGAAACUGUUUAACUUGAGUGCAAGAGGGGAGAGUGGAAUUCCAUGUGUAGCGGUGAAGUGCGUAGAUAUAUGGAGGAACACCGGUGGCGAAAGCGGCUCUCUGGCUUGUAACUGACGCUGAGGCUCGAAAGCGUGGGGAGCAAACAGGAUUAGAUACCCCCGUAGUCCCUGUCUCUUAUACA
rnacentral:rRNA from 1 species